rnacentral:sRNA from 1 species
AAGUCGUAACAAGGUUUCCGUAGGUGAACCUGCGGAAGGAUCAUUAUUGAAAUAAACCUGAUGGGUUGUUGCUGGUUCUCUUGGGAGCAUGUGCACGCCUUGUCAUCUUUAUAUCUCCACCUGUGCACCCUUUGUAGACCUUCCCAGGUCUAUGUUGCUUCAUUUACCCCAAUGUAUGUUAAUAGAAUGUUGUGACUAUAAAAAUCUAUACAACUUUCAGCAACGGAUCUCUUGGCUCUCGCAUCGAUGAAGAACGCAGCGAAAUGCGAUAAGUAAUGUGAAUUGCAGAAUUCAGUGAAUCAUCGAAUCUUUGAACGCACCUUGCGCUCCUUGGUAUUCCGAGGAGCAUGCCUGUUUGAGUGUCAUUAAUAUAUAUCAACCUCUCUUUUUUGAGUGGCUUGGAUGUGGGGGGGUUUUGCUGGCCUGUUCAGCUCCUCUGAAAUACAUUAGCAGAACAAACCUGUUCAUUGGUGUGAUAACUAUCUACGCUAUUGAAUGUGAGGGGCAGUUCAGCUUUCCAACAGUCCUUGGACAACUUAUCAUUUAUGUGACCUCAAAUCAGGUAGGACUACCCGCUGAAAUUAA